CCAGCUGAGGCUGAGGGACUCCCCUCAAAAGGAUCCACCACAAAAGAAGGAAAAGGAAGGAAACUGAAGGCAGCGACUCGGAAACAGAUCUCCUUCUUGAGGCCUCGGUGAACACUAUGGAGACCAACUGUGCCUGUGCUUCAGCUCUGAGGUCACAAACCUGACACAAACAUUCCUUAAGCUCUGAGGCAGAUAUUUAUCUUUGGACCCAGUAAGGUGUGAGGUGCCUUGUUCAAGGCCUCAGCCUUAUGUGGUCACCGGCCUGUGGGCUAGCCUUUCGGGAGCAGGCUUACCCAACCACUCACAUGUCCACACCCAUGCGCCCCUGGCACUACCUGUGGGGCCUCCAAGCUCUCCAGCCUUCCCAGUUUGCUCCCACUCACUCUGGUCUUUGCCACCACGGGCUCCCGACCUGAUGCUGAGGAGGUACAGGCUUACAUGUCUAGUGUUCAAAGUUCAGAUUCCAGGCCUCCAGGCAAGCUCACCUGACACUGUAGGCUCCGACACCACCAGUCAGCUUCCCUGGGCUUAGGCCUUUUGGCUCCUCAGCUAAGAGCUCCCUGGUGAGGAGCAGCUCCUGGGAAUUAGGCCUCUUCUGACAAAUGCCUGUUAGAGCUGUUUUUGCUUCUCCUUCUGCUGACCUCUAAGAUCUUGAGCCUUCUUAUUCUUCUGAUUUUGAUUUUCGAGUAAGAUCUUGCUAUAGUCUUGGUUGGCCUUAAACUCGUGACCCUCCAGUGCCAGGAUUACAGGCAUGCCCCACACUCAGCACCACUAUUGCUCUUGCUUGCCUGGCUCUCUUGUCUCUUCUGCCAUUUCUGUUUCUACUGCUUUGAAUCUCUCUCUGUCUCUAUGUCUAUCCAGUGCAGGCUCUGUAUCCAUGCCUAGCAUGUAUAAACUUUUACAAUGGUAAUAAUUUUAUUCAGACUGCUAUAUCUUCAAGACAAGAAACUCUUUCUUUCUCCAUAAGUAGGUGACGAAAUAGUCUUUCUACUUCAAAGAUUAUGCCAUGGUAGCAACCACUGGAUGUGUGCAGUAAGGCCCAACUUCCUGGAACUCAGCCAGUCUUCACUGUAAUAAUUCCUGAAGAAGCCUGAGCAUUGUCUCCAGUGGUGGAUCUUUAUAGCCAAAGGAUUUGUGACAAACCAACACUCAUCUACCAUCCACAACAUCCACAGUCUAUUGUACAUAGGAAGGCCAUGGGGCAUCACAGUUCAGACACACGUGGAGUGCAGUAUGCUUCUCUGAGCACACUGAAGGCAAAUGGAAGGACACUGAAGGGCAGAGUACCAAGCAGAGAAGAAAAGGAAAGAGGAUUGCCCAUUCAGGAACAGAAAGCUAAGUUAAAACAUCAUCCCAGGACGAAUCUCGGUUUUGCAAAAUGCUACAGGACACCCUCAUUAAUUCAAUUUCUAACAAGUAGAAAAUGCUUCUGGGUAUUACAAAAUCCUUUUCAAAUGCCCUCCUUCAUCAAGUCUAGCACUGGAAUAUCACUGGACUAUCCUUAUAUUUAAUGCAUACCUGGAAUAUAUGCAUACUAUUUCUUGCAUACUUGGAAUAUACCAGACACAUUUAUGGAUGAUGUUUGUGAGAUAUCAGUGGCCAACACAGAGAAGAUUCCUCCCUGGUCUACGGCCGGCCCUCGCCUUCUAGGGAGGUGGACAGAUGAGGAAAAGCAAAGAUGACGAUCUCAGACCGUAAGAGCUGCUCUUGAGGCUGGACCACGAGGCAGAACGUUCACGUGAGUGAGCACUCACACAGAGAAGAUGCACAAGCACAAACUGAACCAGGAAAAGGAGCCAGGCACCGGGAAACGGGGAAAUAACACUCAGGCAAAGGACCCAAGGCUGCAAUGGAAAGAAAGAGGAUGGCUUUGCCAGCUUGGGCUAUCUACAGAGCUGAAGUCUGAGACAAAGCCUGACGGGUCUCUGGGGCAGCACGCUGGAUCUUACAAUGUGACUGUACAUAGUGUGGUUUUGUCUGCUGCUGACAUGGCUGCAGGAAUUUCCCACCACCAGCUUCAUCGGUGCAUGCCUUUACUACUCUCAUGGCCUUCGUUUAAUAUAUCUUCUGUUGUUUUUUUUUGUUAACAUUUAAUAUUUUAUGUGUUUGUUGCUUACCUUUACAGCAGCAUACAGUGACAUCCUUUGCCUGGGCACUCUCAUCCGUUCCGUCGCUCUGUUCUAGCGUACAUUUUAGGGAAAUGUGCAUUUGUCUUGGUCUGUGCAGUCUAUAUAAAGUGUAAAUCCCCAAGGUAUUCCUAUAGAUUUGUUUUGGAUUGAAAAGGUCUUGGGGACCAGGCAGAUUUGAACACUUAGAUUUUUACCUAAAGAUUCUUUUUCCAUAGCUCCAAGAAACAAAACCAAUGAUCCCCAGGAGCCUUUUAGGAUAUUACUGGCGUUAGAAGCCACAUUGUUGCAAGUUAUAAGGGCAUGCCUAGAAAUGCCAAACCGAAAGGACUCAGAACAUUUCUCUUCUUUAAUAAGCUCCGUUCAUGUUUCCAGAAGUCUAGAAGUUUCCUCCAUGGCUCUCAUUCCAGAAAAAAAAAUAGGUACUUCAAAAUCUUAUUCUUAAGUAAAUAUACCUAAAUAUGGGUAUGUCUGAAAUAGAAUCAGCCCCGUGGUACAGCAGUGCUGUACCUAUCAGCAUGCUCUCUGCAGCUGGGAUAGUGGCAAGCGGCCAGUGUGUUAUCCUCUAAUCCAUUGCUAGUCUACCUUCUGAGUGUUAUAAAUAUUCAUACAUGCCAUAGAAAGCUAUAAAGGGCUUUAUUCAAACAUUUUUUUGAAUACCCCUUUAUGUUUCCCCCAAAAGAAAGAAUGCCUGAAAAUAAUUUUUUUUUUUUGCAUAAGGAUAAGAAUGUGAGUUCUCUUUUGUUCAUACUCAAAAAUCCUGAAAGCCAAUAAGCAGUAAAUUCUCUAAUCCUCAUUUCAUACCUCAAGGGUGAAGACGCUGAAAACACAAACAAACAAACAGCAGCGUUGGCACGCUGGCUUGCUGUGCCUAUGGAGGCCAGCACCACAGAAAGGUGUUGGUGCCCCUGGCUGCCCUUGGUGACUUCUGCCCCUGCCAGCGGCUCCCACUGGGGACACAGCCCAGCGGGUCCACACACACAGACUGCCGACCCUGCUUGUACCUGGUCUUUGUUGACGGAUGCCUGACAAGAACUUAGAGCAUACAACAUGUCUUUCUCCAAGGCACUUAGGGCUAACUGUAGAUGAGGGUGACGGUUAGUGGUGCCCAGAAGAAAGGUGGGCCAGCUGGUGGGAGAAAAAUGCUGGAAAGCUAGCCGACACUGAUUGAUCAAUGUUGACUGAUAAUGUCAUGUUGAUCGGUCAGGUUUAGAAAGCCAAUCAAAUCGAUUUUGAUUUGAACUUCUACUUAGUUUUCUACUAAGACUUAACUUGUGGAAGGACAUUUCUGAAAUGAAUCUGUCUGGUAAUAUGAUUUAUCAAAUAAAAUAAAGCUUAGAAAGCUGCUGGCACAGAGGGC
ensembl:antisense Rapgef4os3 Rap guanine nucleotide exchange factor (GEF) 4, opposite strand 3